GGGUGUACGCGCCAGCAGGCGCGGCAGGUUCAUGCGCUGGUCGGGCCGCCACG
rnacentral:ncRNA from 2 species